CCUCCAUUUCUCCUCCUUCCCUUUCUUCCCCAAAAGGAAAAAAUAUUCUUUCAAUAGCACCCCAACAUUCGCGGACCCAAGGCUUCCAGCCAAGCUAGCUCUAACAUCCUGGACGCUCAACACCCUGAGUUCGAAGAGAUGGUGUCUGCACAGGAGAAUCAAGACAGAUGUUCAGGGUGGAUGACUAAAACUCCUCUUUGUACAAAGCUCCCAGGAGACCUGAUGUGCCCAAGGUCCAGACUGAAAUGUUGCAAGAAAUUUCAAGUGUCCGUUUCACCCCAAGCCUCCGGGAGAUGAGGAGAAAGCAGCAGAGGAGGAAGGAGGAGACUCGAACAUCCCGCCCACGGCUGCACCAACCAAACCGAGAGCCUUAACCGUGGGAGUCGACCUGUCCGUCGGGGAGAAAAUAAAAUAAGUAUCUCCUCAUAUCCUAACCAAAACUAAUUUGGAAACUUUUACUGCUAGUAUCGAACGUUCUGAACUCUUAAGCCUCUCUCACAUAUUCAUAUUCAAGAUGAAAAAGUAUUUGGCCUUUCCCUCCCAGAAUAUAUCCCCAAUCCAUUUUCAGGGGAAAGAACUCUGCUGGUUAGGAUGUUGCUUACACUCCUUAAAAUUCAGACGGGAGAGAGACAGGAGCGACUGGGAGCCUUUACUUAGGAAGAAAUAAUAAGGAAAAUAAAAGAGACAUUAAAAACAUAGUACUGUUAGGCCAUUUAAAAGUCGAUGCAGAAACGGAACCUGACAGUAAAUUUCCAAGGGAAAUUUACCUCAUGUCUCCUUAAAAAGAAAGAAUAAAACGUCUUAGGAUGAGGCUCCCUGAUUUAGAACGGUUCACUCUCCUGACUGUUGGGAUUGGGUUUAUAUUCCGUAUGAGGUUUGGCUUUAGUUUAAGAGAGACAAGCAAAUGCUUGCACAUCUUCGAGCGGUGUGAUUUGAAGGAGAUCUGGAAAAAAGUGAAAACAGUGGUAGAGUCUGUGCUCGUGGGCUCAACCCCAGGUCGAUAUUUUUCAGAAACUUAACGGGCCUACUUCUGGACGCGCCCCAUCCGGCCAGCAUCCAGCCAGGCAGAGGUGCGGCCUCAGAUGUCAGUAGAAGCCGAUCUGACGGGAGGGUGAGGAGGGCUAGAUGA